rnacentral:rRNA from 1 species
UACGUAGGGUGCAAGCGUUGUCCGGAAUUAUUGGGCGUAAAGAGCUCGUAGGCGGUCUGUCGCGUCGUCCGUGAAAACUUGGGGCUCAACCCCAAGCUUGCGGGCGAUACGGGCAGACUUGAGUACUGCAGGGGAGACUGGAAUUCCUGGUGUAGCGGUGAAAUGCGUAGAUAUCUGAAGGAACAUCAGUGGCGAAAGCGACUUCCUGGACCAAUACUGACGCUCAUGUGCGAAAGCGUGGGGAGCAAACAGG